rnacentral:rRNA from 1 species
GCCCAAGAGAUCGGGAUAACACCUGGAAACAGAUGCUAAUACCGGAUAACAACAGAUGAUGCCUAUCAACUGUUUAAAAGAUGGUUCUGCUAUCACUCUUGGAUGGACCUGCGGUGCAUUAGCUAGUUGGUAGGGUAACGGCCUACCAAGGCGAUGAUGCAUAGCCGAGUUGAGAGACUGAUCGGCCACAUUGGGACUGAGACACGGCCCAAACUCCUACGGGAGGCAGCAGUU